AUGGACGGGGUCAAUGCUACAGGUGGGGAUGGCAGCUACGGGGAGGAAUCGAACGGGAAAUAUGGGGCUUUUGAUGUGGUGCUCACUGUGAGGUCGUGCGGACGGCUCGUGGACGUCGGGGUGGACGAACGGCAGCGGAUUGACAAAGAACGCCGACGGGUAGAGGUUGAAGAAGGCGGUCGAUCCCGGGCAUGGAGGCGUCCUUGCUUGACCUGGGCCUUAGAGAUGACGUGGUCGACGACGGGGAAGCGGACGAGCAAGUUCCUAGGGCGCGGGGAGCUCGGUGUGCGUAAGGACGAUGAGAACCAUGGCGGCGGUGGCUCUAUUGCGCACGGGAGGGAGGAGGGCAAGUGA
rnacentral:rRNA from 1 species